ACUCCAUCUGUCUGCUAAGCAGAGCAGUGAAUGACAGGAGCCUCCCAACUGCCGCCCCCCACCACCACCACCACCAUGGAACACUGCUGCCAAAAAACUGGUACUGUCCAGUUAAAAUCGGGACAGUUGGGAGAGAUUCAUACAGCAAGUUAAAUGGACCUAAACCGAUUUGCAUGAUGGAUGUCAAGAAUCAUGCAUGCACAUUAAUGUAUAAUAUAGUUUAUUUGUAAGGUGCAACCAAGUUCCGGAACACCUAACAUGGCGUACAAGGCAAAAAGCUGCGGUUUCCAGUAACCCUCACAAGAUUGGAUGGAUGAGGAGGACUCUGUUAAUACUGUUUCCAGCCCUGCAGCAUUUCAUUGUACUUCAAAAAACUUACUUGAUACAAGUCUGUUUUAACAGUGCCUAUUUGUUGUAAUUAUCAAAAGUGUAUGGAAAACGCAUUGAAAGAUACAA